UACGGAAGGCAGCAGUGGGGAAUAUUGCACAAUGGGCGCAAGCCUGAUGCAGCCAUGCCGCGUGUAUGAAGAAGGCCUUCGGGUUGUAAAGUACUUUCAGUCGUGAGGAAGGUGUUAAGGUUAAUAACCUUAGCAAUUGACGUUAGCGACAGAAGAAGCACCGGCUAACUCCGUGCCAGCAGCCGCGGUAAUACGGAGGGUGCGAGCGUUAAUCGGAAUUACUGGGCGUAAAGGGCACGCAGGCGGUUAAUUAAGUUGGAUGUGAAUCCCCGGGCUUAACCUGGGAAUGGCAUUCAAGACUGGUUAGCUAGAGUCUUGUAGAGGGGGUUAGAAUUCCAUGUGUAGCGGUGAAAUGCGUAGAGAUGUGGAGGAAUACCGGUGGCGAAGGCGGCCCCUGGACAAGACUGACGCUCAUGUGCGAAAGCGUGGGGAGCAAACAGGGAUUAGAUACC
rnacentral:rRNA from 1 species